rnacentral:rRNA from 1 species
UAGUCUCGCACAGAUGCAUAUCAAUAAGCGGAGGAAAAGAAACUAACAAGGAUUCCCCUAGUAACGGCGAGUGAAGCGGGAAGAGCUCAAAUUUGAAAUCUUAAAGGGUUUCCCUUUACGAAUUGUAGUUUAAAGAAGUGUUUUCUGUUGAGGUUUUGGUAAAAGUUCUUUGGAAUAGGACAUCAUAGAGGGUGAGAAUCCCGUAUUUGACCUUUACUUUCAACUUUGUGAUACACUUUCAAAGAGUCGGAUUGUUUGGGAAUGCAGUCCAAAAUGGGUGGUAAAUUUCAUCUAAAGCUAAAUAUUGGCGAGAGACCGAUAGCGAACAAGUACCGUGAGGGAAAGAUGAAAAGAACUUUGAAAAGAGAGUUAAACAGUAACGUGAAAUUGUCAAAAGGGAAGCGUUUGACACCAGUGUUGUUUUUCUGAAAAUCAAUUAAAGAACUGUUUAUGCUAAGUUGUUUAGACUUUAUCAGCUAACUGUUUAGUUUUGAGCUUUUCUUUAAUGCACUUUUCAGUUAACAAGUCAACAUCAAUUUCUUUUGCUGUAAAAAAGCUUGAGGAAGGUGGCUUGAGAUUCGUCUUAAGUGUUUAUAGCCUCUUGCCUAUGCAGUCGGAGAGAUUGAGGUCUGCAGCGUAGAUCCUUCGGGGCUAAAUGCAUUUGUGCUAAGUUAUAGCAUUUCAUAGACAACUUGUUGACUAUGAUUUGUCUUGUAGCUUACUCGCUUAUGUUAUUUUACCUACGCUUAGGAUGUUGACAGCAGUAUAGACUGU